ensembl:lncRNA
UCCCUUUGUUCCAAAGUGGUUUUACAAAAUAUAGUGCCUUAAAACUCCCUUAAACGGUUGGUUUGGGUGGAUAAAGAAGAAACUUUGGGAGUAACCAAAACUCAGCAGAGAGAGCCAAUCCUUCUGUGGAACAUUUGUGGAACAUCAAUAAUGGUGGGAUGAACCAAAAGCACAGGUGCAGCUGCAGGUGGAGGAGAUUCAAACAUAUAUAAGUCUGAUGGGUCACACACAGAAGACAGUGAAGACUGAGGAACAUUUGAAGACUCUCAUUCAUCGGUAUCUCCAACAAUAGAAUGAUUUCAGAGCAGAGAGAGAUGAAGAGUGUUCUCUCAGUGAAGAUGUUGGCUGUGUUGCCUCUGGUUCUGUUGGUGUCCAGUGUGACUGAGGGACGGAUUAUGAGUAAAUGUGAGCUGAAGGCCAAGCUGGAGGCUGCACGAUUUCAAGACUUUAAGGUCAUGGGAGAAAAAUUGAGCACAAAAGAUCUUGUAGCUAGACUUGUCUGCAAGGCUAAAGCCUCUGGCUUCAACACCAACUUCAUGAAAACCAUCAGCAACUACUAUGAAGAGAACAAUCCCGAUGACGCCCCACCUCAGUCAUCCACCUCCACCUUAAGGCCUACUUCAAGGGCCACCAGCUCCACCUCAAGUACCACCUCAAAGUCUACAUCAAGUCCCACAAUAAGACCCACCACAUUUUCCACUUCAAAACCCACCACAGGCUCCACCACAAGACCAACCACAGGCUCCACCACAGGCUCCACCACAAGACCAACCACAGGCUCCACCACAAGACCAACCACAGGCUCUACCACAGGCUCCACCACAAGCCCAACCACAGGCUCCACCACAAGACCAACCACAGGCUCCACCACAAGACCAACCACAGGCUCCACCACAAGACCAACCUCAGGCUCCACCACAAGCUCCACUUCAACCCCUACCACAGGCUCCACCUCAAGCUCCACCACAAGCUCCACUUCAACACCCACCACAGGCUCCACCUCAAGCUCUACUUCAAGCUCCACUUCAACCCCUACCACAGACUCCACCACAGGCUUCACCUCUAGCUCCACCACAAGCUCCACUUCAUCCCCCACCACAGACUUCACCUCAAGCUCCACCACAAGCUCCACUUCAACCCCCACCACAGACUUCACCUCAAGCUCCACCACAAGCUCCACUUUAACCCCUACCACAGGCUCCACCUCAAGCUCCACUUCAACCCCCACAACAGACUCCACCACAGGCUCCACCUCAAGCUCUAUGACAAGCUCCACUUCAACCCCCACCACAGACUCCACCACAGGCUCCACCUCAAGCUCUACCACAAGUCCAACCACAAGACCCACCAAAGUCUCCACCUCAAGCUCUACCACAAGUCCAGCCAAAAGACCUGUCACAGGGCACCCUACAGUCUCUCCUUCAAGACCUACCCCAAGAAAUGCCUCGAACAGAGGCCGGCGUCACAUUCCUUUUUUUAACAAACCCAACGGUCCUAUCUUUAGGGAGAAGGAGCCAAAGUGGCCCUUAGUCGAACGCCUGUAUGGACUGUUUCAGCUCAGUGAUCAGUGGGCCUGUAAUUCUGACAAGGUGCCAUCUCUCAAUAUUUGCAACAUGAAAUGCACUGCUUUAAAUGGUGAUGAUGCCACAAAUGACAUUGCUUGCCUGAAGACCCUGAUGAACAGCAUGUAAGUACACAUGAGCUCAAACAAACACCCUAAAACAACAUCUACAUAACCCCAUGCUUCUUAUUUUAACUGUGAAGAGUGUUUUAAAUAUAAAUUCAAAACAAAAAAUAAUUUUAUUCAAUAUUUUAACAAACAAAUGUGUUUACAACUCAAUAAACAGUUAGAAAAUGAAAGAAAUUGAAUCUGAAAAAUAUAUAUAUUUUUUUUUAUCCAGUAAUUACAUUUAUGACUCUGUCUUCUUUUGUAACAGGCCACCUAAACCUCUUGUGAACCCCUCUGAUUUGAAGAAGAUGUAAGUUGAAAAUAUUUUUAUGACAUCAUAAUUUUGCUAAUCAUGUCAAUACACGCUAAAUAUAAUAAAAUACAUAAAAUAUAAAUGAAAAUAAGUACAUAUUAUAGUGCAUUUUAUGGAAUGAAUAGCAUUUUGGAGGUUGUUUUGCUUAUUUAGAAAGCUGUUUGUUAAUGUUGUCAAUUAAUUACAAUCAAAAACAGCUUAUUUUAGCCAUGCCUAACAACUGUGUUAUACCAAUUUUCAAUGAUUUCCAUGGCUCUACACACCUGAAGUAUAAAAGGUCUUUUUUCCUAUUUGAGUGCAACAAUUAGCAUAGCUAUUUAAAGAUUUUAAAUAUUAGCAAAGUAACCAUAGCACUUGCUAUGGCAAAUUCCAUUUUCAACAUGUUGUGACAUGGUGAAAUAAUAAGGUGCUUGAACUGACAAAGUCAACUAGUACAUUGUGAUAAUUGGUGUUUCUCGGCAUGUGACAAACACAGAGUGAUUAAUUAUUAUAUGUCAGACAUUAUAGGCUUAAAAAAAUCUAAUCUGAAGGUUCAAAGUGUGACUGUUUUCUGUGUGUUACAGCUUGGGGACCUUGUUGGUGGAUGAGUGCCGCUCUGUUGUUCACUCAGAGUACUUUGCUGAGUGUUUUUAGAGGAAUACCCCUAUGAUUGAAUGGUAAUGGGGUCAUUGGUUGUGGAACCCGUGUGGCUCUUAACUAAGGGUGUUUGUCCAUUAAGGCACUUUAUGUUAUUGCUUUGUUAUUGCUGUGAUAUUGUAAAAUUGUUAUUUAUGUACACAUUUACAUUUUUGUCUAAACUUAAAAUUUAACAUUUGGUUCCUUGUGUCAGACUGUGCUUUUCAUUAAAAUAAUAUAAAAAAAUACAGAAGUGCUCAAAAUGCACUUUCUUUCUGCAUAUUUUUUUUUCUUCAGGAUAAUAUAUUACCAUUUGUACCCAGAAAAAAUAUAUAUAUAUUUUAAGGUCAGGAAACAGCCUAGUUUGAAGAUCAUUUAGGAAUUUUAAAUGAUUCAUUUCAAAUCCGACUUGUGC